CCCCUAAAAUAAAUGCAUAGUUGCUCUCAAUUAAUCUAAAAAAAGAUUCGAGUUGCUAGAUUUGUUCCGAUACUUUACUUUUAUCUGCUUAUCUUCUCCUGCAAAGGAUAUUGUCAUGUGGAGUUCAGUCACAUAUAUUUAUGCCGUGCACGGUAUAUGAGAGGAAGUUGUAAAGGUUUUCCAUGAGAUGCUUUCGUCUGGUAGUAGUAUUAAGCCUAAUGAAGUCACCUUCUUUGCAACUCUCAUGGUCUAGAAAGGGCUUUAGAUAUUUGAACCUAUGGUUGAUAUGCUUGGUCGUGCAAGACGGUUAGAUGAGGCAAUGAGACUGAUGGAAAGCAUGACAGUGGAACCGGAUCCUGCAGUUUGGUGUCUCUGUUGGGAGCGUGUAGGACUCACUCUCAGCUGGAUUUGGCAGAAUUUGCUGGAAAGAAAGUCCAAGAAAUUCAACCGCAGAUUUUUUUGACUUAAAUCUUGUUCUCCAACAUUAUGCAUCUCAAGGUAGGUGGGGGUGAUGUAGAACUGAGAAAAGUUAUGAUAUACAAUUUUUGAUAGUCUCAAUCUUUUAAAGUAAGAUAUACAAUUUUUUUGAUAUAUAAUGUAAUUUUGUAAAGAAGUAAAAUUUAAUUUACUAAAUUAUACUUAAUAUCUUUUUAUAUAUUUAAUAUCUUGCUAUAUAUAUAUAUAUAUAUAUCAUAUACCAUAUUAAAUUAUUUUUUUGACCGCUCAUGGUUGACUCUAUAUUUUUAAUGUUCUAAAAAUCGCUAGGCGCUUUAUAGAGGAUUAGCGACUAGGCGGAUUAUUCGGGGUCUAGGCGAGGCCUAGGCGUUAGCAAAUUAUUGAUUUAUUUUUAUUUAUAUUAUACAUUUAUAUGUCAUUUUAGUUUUUAAGUUUAAUUAUAAAUUAUUAUGAAGAAUUAUAAAAAUUAAAUAUACAAAACAGAAGAAAUUAGACAAAUUUAUAGAUUUAUAAUAAUAUUAUUGCUUAAUUUCACAUAUUUAGACAAAUUUACAUCGAUUUAAACUGAUUUUAAUCGAUUUAGAAAAGUUUAAACCAAUUUGAAUCGUAUAAAUCGGCAUAAAUCAGAUUUAAAAAAAAAUGUUUCGGAUAGGACCGAGUUGCCGCCUAGGCGGGGGCCUAAGCGCCGCCUAGACUGAUUUUUAGAACCUUAUUAUUUGUUUUAACAAAUUUUACAGGCUUUGGUAUCAGAUUGAGUCAAUCUUACUUAAAUAAACAUCCACGUUAGUCCAAAUGAAACUGGUUUUAAUUUUGUUUUGACUUUGGAGGAUAUAAUAUAUUAGAUUUUUAGGCAGAGAGAGCAUUUAGCUCUGAGCAUCUGUCUACUGUAUUAGUAAUUCUCACCGAUUAAAAUAAACAGAAAUUGGUGUCAAUACACCUAAACCAACCUCUAUUUUGCAAUAUACCCAUAAUCUUUGAUGCCAAAUCCCCUUCCCAUUUUUCCAUCGGUCUAAGCAUUAAUUCAAUCUCUAAUAACCACCUACUUUCUAUUCAUUGAUUCGUUCCUCUGUUAUCCAAAAUUGAUUUUAUUUCUUCUCCUAAAACCAAAACUUUGGUCAAAGAUAGAGCUUUGAUUUCUUAAUCGUAAGAUGGAAGAAAUCAACCUCCCUUCGAAAGUGUUUGCGGCUGGCGAGGAACCGACUACUGGUGAACGAGUCAGCCAUCAUGACAAUGCUCUUGAUUGAAGCUCACGCCUCAGGUGGUGUUGAUCAAUGUAAGGCAUCACUCUUGCGUUCUCGCAGAAGCUGCAAAACAGUUGGCCGUUAAUUUCUACGACACCUUUUCAAAAAAGUCUUAGAUUAAUGUAAUUAUUUUCACCCAACUCUUUUAUUUUCUGAUUUUACUUGUUACUGAGACAUUAUCAGAAAAUAAACUAACAAUAUUAUCAACUAACAAUAUUGGACCCAUGCGUGAUGAUCUUGCGAGACUUAAAUGAUAAACAAUCCACUCAUCAGCUAAUAUUUUAAUUACCAGCUACCAUAUGUAGGUUACAUGUAUCGUGCCUACACUAAAACCAUGGUGUCCAUAUUUUAGACAUGUGGGCAUAUUGAUGUACAUAACUGAUAAACGAUUAACUUAUCAGCUAAGAGCAGGUUUUAUUGCAGUGACUUAAAUUAAUUGCUUAAGGCUAAUUGCAAUUAAAAUAAAUGAUAAAUGGAAAAAAAGAAAAAAAGGUGUUGUUUAAUUUGGCACGGAAAGCGUCAUUUCUUCUUUGCCAGGUGUCGCACCGGUAAUGGCUGGAGAAGAGGUGACCCUCGCUUCCUUCGCGUUUUCUCGUUUCCUUCAUUUCUCUCUCUCUCUUUCUCUCCUCGCUGCGGCGAAAGGUGAAAUCUGAUGCGAUCGGUGGGUCUGUUCGACGCCACGGCUGCGUCUCUGUGGGUGGCUGUCGUCGACGACGGCUAACGACGUCCUCUCUAUUUGUUGCUCUUCUCCACCAAGGAAAACGGCGACAUCUCUCUCCGUUUCUUUCCUCUCCUCGGCAAAAGGGGAGAUCUCUCCCGAUCGGUGGUUCUGUUGGACGAUCAGGCGACGUCUCCGUCGGUGGCUGUUGUCGAGGAAGGGCCACAGCGAUCUUCCUAUCUGUCUCUUUCCUCUCCUCGGCGGAAUCGUGGCGAGCUCUAUCUAAGGCGAAUCGAAGGUAAAGAUUUGUUAAGAUGAUGCAUGUAUUUGAUUUUGAUUAUGCAUGUAUUUGAUUUAGAUUUUCUCGAACAGAUCGAGAAUUUUAAUAUGAGGAACAUGAUAAAUUUUGAUUUGAUUUUUUUCUGUCAUGUUCUUGUGAGAUGGAAUGAUCAAGAGCCAGACGAUUCUUCAUUCAAAAGACAUAAGAUCAAGGGCCACAUGUUAAAGGUUGUUUGAUCAAGAUGCAAUGGCAAGGUUCGUGAGACAAAAGCCCUACACUUGUUGAUAGAGAGUCUAGUAUCACGGGAGUGGAGACUUGGACAAGAACAGGAGAGAGUGGAGAGGCAGACAAGACCACGCGAGAGUGGAGCAUUGUAUCACGGGUCUUUGUAUUGUCUUGUUCCUGUUUUGUAUUUGGUCACGGGACUUGUACUCUUGCAUUGUUUUGGUCACGAGUCUUUGUAACGAGACUUCUAUCAUUUGGUCACGAGAAUGCAUUGAUAUGUAUUUGGUCACGGGUCUUUGUAAGACUUAUAAAAUGUUAUGUUUCACUUUCUCAUUCUCACCAUUAUUGCAUGUUAUAAACAAUACAUUAUCUUGCUUAAUUCUCUCAAUUCUCUUCAUCAAAACAAUCCAUUCUCACUCUCCUUGUCAUCAAAACAAUCCAUUCUCACUCUCGUUGAUUAAACAAUCCAUUCUCAUUCUCGUUGAUUAAACAAUCCAUUCUCAUUCCAUUCGUUUCUCAAGUUAUAAACAAUCAAUUCAAGGACUCAAUGGAUGAAGCGUUUGAUCAAUAUUUUGAUCAUCAAUUCGAUCAAGCAUUUGAGAAUUUGUGCAAUACUUUUGGAGAUCAAACAGAAGAAAAGAAGACAAUAAAAAAAGAGUUUUUAUCGAAAGAAACCGUGAAGAAGGUUAUCUCCGAUUAUGGAAUGAUUAUUUUAGUGACGCUCCAACGUAUCCAUAAAAUCUAUUCCGACGACGAUUUCGUAUGAACAAACCAUUGUUUAUGCAUAUUGUUGAUCGUCUCUCAAAUGAAGUUCAAUUCUUUUGUCAGAUUAAGGAUGGUCUCAGAAGGCUUGGUCUCUCUACACUUCAGAAGUGUAUGGCAGCUAUUCGUGUGUUGGCAUAUGGUUAUGCGCUUGAUGCGGUCGACGAAUACCUCAAGCUCGGUGCAACCACUACUCGGUUAUAUGUGGAAAAUUUUGUGGAAGCAAUAAUAGAUUUGUUCGGUGAUCAGUACCUAAGAAGACCAACACAAGAUGAUCUUCAAAGUCUACUUCAUAUUGGAGAGCUUCGUGGGUUUCCCGGGAUAAUAGGAAGUGAUAUCUUGCAUAUUUCCAUUGUCUUAUCCAUUCACCCAUGUGCAUUUUGAUCAUAUAGACUAGGAUUUAGCCACGUUUAGGUUGCAUUUUGCAUACAUGAGUCUUUAUCAGGUGUUGGAGUACCACAUGGAGUUCUUGGAGGCAUUUGGGUGCAUUUGAAGCUCAAAAGAAGUGUUUAACGCGAUCAACGGACGAGCAGCGCACCAGAGCGACCUCAUCGGAGCGACGCCGUGAAGUCGCUGUGACACACAUCCCGGAGCGAUCUGGCCAGAGCGACAUGGAGAGGUCGCUCGCGUUUCUAUCGUGAGACACCCCUCUCAGAGCGACUUACCAGAGCGACGCUCCGAGGUCGCUCACGUUUCCAUGGCGAGACGACACAAAACGAAGCCCAUAACGACUUCUCAGAGCGACCCACUGAGGUCGCUCCCGAAGGCCAGAGCGACUUGUCGGAGCGACAUGCCGAGGUCGCUCUGCUUCUAUUUGCCUGUCGAACUCAUGUUUUCUAAGGGCCUUUUGGUCAUUUCAUUAUGCACGUUUUUACUUUUCAAAACCUAUGUUUUAAGUACCUUUGGUAGCCACCAGGCAGACUAUCUUUUGUUCUUAAGAAAAACCUUUGGAAAGUUCAUCUCUUGAAUCAUUUUUGUUCAUCUAGUUAUUGCAAUUCUGUGUUUUCAAUUCAUUGUUGUAUCCCUCUGUAUGAUUAAUCUGAAAUCCAAAAUGGGUUUAAGAGGAAUCAUGAAGAGUAGUGAGUAAUCACCAUUUGAAUUCAUGGG